GACGAACGCUGGCGGCGUGCUUAACACAUGCAAGUCGAACGGAAAGGCCCCUUUGGGGGUACUCGAGUGGCGCACGGGUGCGUAACACGUGAGUAACCUGCCCUUGACUUCGGGAUAACUUCAGGAAACUGGGGCUAAUACCGGAUAGGAAUCCUUGCUGCAUGGUGGGGGUUGGAAAGCUUCGGCGGUUUUGGAUGGACUCGCGGCUUAUCAGCUUGUUGGUGGGGUAGUGGCUUACCAAGGCUUUGACGGGUAGCCGGCCUGAGAGGGCGACCGGCCACAUUGGGACUGAGAUACGGCCCAGACUCCUACGGGAGGCAGCAGUGGGGAAUAUUGCACAAUGGGCGGAAGCCUGAUGCAGCAACGCCGCGUGCGGGAUGACGGCCUUCGGGUUGUAAACCGCUUUCAGCAGGGGCGAAGCUUGUGGUGACGGUACCUGCAGAAGAAGCACCGGCGAACUACGU
rnacentral:rRNA from 1 species